rnacentral:rRNA from 1 species
CAGUAGCCGCGAGAAUACAGAGGGUGCGAGCGUUAAUCGGAUUUACUGGGCGUAAAGCGUGCGUAGGCGGCUUCUUAAGUCGGAUGUGAAAUCCCUGAGCUUAACUUAGGAAUUGCAUUCGAUACUGGGAAGCUAGAGUAUGGGAGAGGAUGGUAGAAUUCCAGGUGUAGCGGUGAAAUGCGUAGAGAUCUGGAGGAAUACCGAUGGCGAAGGCAGCCAUCUGGCCUAAUACUGACGCUGAGGUACGAAAGCAUGGGGAGCAAACAGGAUUAGAUACCCCGGUAGUCCCUGUCUCUUAUAA